CAAAGAGAAGCUCGCGGCUGAUUAGCUAGUUGGUCAAGGUAAUGGCUUACUAAGGCGCACGCAUCAGUAGCUGGUUUGAGAGAACGAUCAGCCACACUGGAACUGAGACACGGUCCAGACUCCUACGGGAGGCAGCAGUGGGGAAUUUUCCGCAAUGGGCGAAAGCCUGACGGAGCAAUACCGCGUGAGGGAUGAAGGCCUUUGGGUUGUAAACCUCUUUUAUCAAGGAGGAAGUUCUGACGUGUACUUGAUGAAUAAGCAUCGGCUAACUCCGUGCCAGCAGCCGCGGUAAGACGGAGGAUGCAAGUGUUCUCCGGAAUCACUGGGCGUCAAGCGUCU
rnacentral:rRNA from 1 species